rnacentral:rRNA from 1 species
UGGGGAAUUUUGGACAAUGGGCGCAAGCCUGAUCCAGCAAUGCCGCGUGCAGGAUGAAGGCCUUCGGGUUGUAAACCGCUUUUGUCAGGGAAGAAACGAGUUUCUCUAAUACAGAGACUUAAUGACGGUACCUGAAGAAUAAGCACCGGCUAACUACGUGCCAGCAGCCGCGGUAAUACGUAGGGUGCAAGCGUUAAUCGGAAUUACUGGGCGUAAAGCGUGCGCAGGCGAUUAUGCAAGACAGAGGUGAAAUCCCCGGGCUCAACCUGGGAACUGCCUUUGUGACUGCAUCACUCGAGUACGGCAGAGGGAGGUGGAAUUCCGCGUGUAGCAGUGAAAUGCGUAGAUAUGCGGGGGAACACCGAUGGCGAAGGCAAUCCCCUGGGCCUGUACUGACGCUCAUGCACGAAAGCGUGGGGAGCAAACA